AUCUGCCUGCUUGAUAUCUGAUCGAUGUCUAUAUGAAUAGAUAUUGCUAGCUAGAUCACUGGCUAUCUGCUUUACCUACAUACCUACCUACCUACCUACCUACCUGCUUGAUAUCCGAUCGAAUGCUGAUGAAAUAUAGAGUGCUAGCUAGAUAGCUAGUUACCUAUCUACCUCCCUACCUUUCAACCAGCCCGUCUGCUCAAUAUCCAAUCAAUCUCUAUGAGAAUAAACAUCUCCAUCUAGCUACCCACCUACCUAUCAAUGCUAGCUUACUAUAUAUAUAUAUAUAUAUCUACUGACCGGC
rnacentral:sRNA from 1 species